UCCUACGGGAGGCAGCAGUGGGGAAUCUUGGACAAUGGGGGCAACCCUGAUCCAGCCAUGCCGCGUGWGUGAUGAAGGCCUUAKGGUCGUAAAGCUCUUUCGCCWGAGAUGAUAAUGACAGUAUCWGGUAAAGAAACCCCGGCUAACUCCGUGCCAGCAGCCGCGGUAAUACGGAGGGGGUUAGCGUUGUUCGGAAUUACUGGGCGUAAAGCGCACGUAGGCGGAUURGWAAGUCAGAGGUGAAAUCCCGGGGCUCAACCCUGGAACUGCCUUURAUACUGCYAGUCUAGAGUUCGAGAGAGGUGAGUGGAAUUCCGAGUGUAGAGGUGAAAUUCGUAGAUAUUCGGAGGAACACCAGUGGCGAAGGCGGCUCACUGGCUCGAUACUGACGCUGAGGUGCGAAAGUGUGGGGAGCAAACAGGAUUAGAUACCCUGGUAGUCCACACCGUAAACGAUGAAUGCCAGYCGUCGGGUAGUAUACUAUUCGGUGACA
rnacentral:rRNA from 1 species